rnacentral:rRNA from 1 species
UGGGGAAUAUUGCACAAUGGGCGCAAGCCUGAUGCAGCCAUGCCGCGUGUAUGAAGAAGGCCUUCGGGUUGUAAAGUACUUUCAGCGGGGAGGAAGGUGUUGUGGUUAAUAACCACAGCAAUUGACGUUACCCGCAGAAGAAGCACCGGCUAACUCCGUGCCAGCAGCCGCGGUAAUACGGAGGGUGCAAGCGUUAAUCGGAAUUACUGGGCGUAAAGCGCACGCAGGCGGUCCGUCAAGUCGGAUGUGAAAUCCCCGGCGUCACCUAGGCACUGGCAUCGCAAAUCAUGGCAGGCUAGAGUCUUGUAGA